ACUGCAGCAUCCCUAACUGCUUCCUCCCCCUCUUUCUCCAGUGACUUCGGCCUUAGUGCACAUUGCCAGUCCUAGUAUCUAAACUUAGUCUUUCAGGUCUCUGGGGUGAUAGAGCCGGUGACACCAAGCAAGCCUCAGCAUGCUGGGCAGCGCAGCUUUUCUGGGUAUUGUGCUGUCUGUCGUGUUGACUUUGGACACGGGACGCAGAUGGGGUUGGAGGACAGGACCAGUGAGAAGAGAAGGCCAUGUUUGGCUCACGGCAUCAAUAUUAUCAUCUGCAUUUGGGCAGCAACCGUGUGUGCACCUUCUACUGGGUUUCUGAUGUGGAAGUUUGGUGCUGUAAUGUUUGCUGAAUGAACAGAGUCAGGAAAGGACCCGAGCUGUUGGAAGACUGCAUGAUGAAGACCCAUAGUGGCUGGAAGGGAUAGUGGG